AUGGCUAGUGCCUUGACCAAAGCUGUAAUUGAAAAAGCCCAUUUCCAGAGCAGUCUAUGUCUGGCAAUCAGACGUUCUUCGAGGAGAGUCGCCACGGUUUCCUGCUUCAACAGUCCUUGGACGGAACCGGCGCUGGUCCCCCACCCCGGCCGGCCGCCCACAGCCUGCCCUCCGUCGCCUCCACACCGCGCCCUGGGACCCCCAAGGCCCCCGCCCCGCCGCCAUCUCUCCUUAGCCGCCGCCAUCUCUCCUUAGCCGCCGCCAUCUCUCCUUAGCCGCCGCCAUCUCUCCUUAGCCGCCGCCAUAACGCGUCUGCGCAGGCGCGCCGGAACUCCCGUCAGGACUCAGAGGCCGCCAUCACCCGCCAGAUCAACCCGGAGCUCUACACCUCCUGUGUUCACCUGUCCAUGUCUUACUACCUUGACCGCGAUGAUGCGGCUCUGAAGAACUUUGUCAAGUGCUUUCUUCACCAAUCUCCUGAGGAGAGGGAACAUGCGGAGAAACUGAUGAAGCUGCAGCACCUACCAGGUGGCCGCAUCUUCCUUCAGGAUAUCAAGAAACCAGACCAUGAUGACUGGGAAAGCCGGCUGAAGGCGAUGGAGUGUGCAUUACAUUAGGAAAAAAACGUGAGUCAGUCACUACUGGAACCGCACACACUAGCCACUGACAAAAAUGACCCCCAUUUGUGUGACUUCAUUGAGACGCAUGACCUGAAUGAGCAGGUGAAAUCCAUCAGAGAAUUGGGUGACCAUGUGACCAACUUGUGCAAGAUGGGAGCACCCCAGUCUGGCUUGGCAGAAUAUCUCUUUGACAAGCACACCCUGGGAGACAGUGAUAAUGAAAGCUAAGCCUUAGGCUAAUUUCCCCAUAGCCACGGGGUGACUUCCCUGGUCACCAAGGCAGUGCAUGUAUAUUGGGGUUUUCUUUACCUUUUCUAUAAGUUGUACCAAAACAUCCACUUAAGUUCUUUGUACCAUUCCUUCAAAUAAAGAAAUUUGGUACCC